rnacentral:rRNA from 1 species
GACGAACGCUGGCGGCGUGCUUAACACAUGCAAGUCGAACGAUGAAGCUAGAGCUUGCUCUGGUGGAUUAGUGGCGAACGGGUGAGUAACACGUGAGUAACCUGCCCCGAACUCUGGAAUAACUGCUGGAAACGGUAGCUAAUACCGGAUAUGACCAAUGAAGGCAUCUUCUGUUGGUGGAAAGAAUUUCGGUUCGGGAUGGACUCGCGGCCUAUCAGCUUGUUGGUGAGGUAACGGCUCACCAAGGCGACGACGGGUAGCCGGCCUGAGAGGGUGAUCGGCCACACUGGGACUGAGACACGGCCCAGACUCCUACGGGAGGCAGCAGUGGGGAAUAUUGCACAAUGGGCGCAAGCCUGAUGCAGCAACGCCGCGUGAGGGACGACGGCCUUCGGGUUGUAAACCUCUUUUAGUAGGGAAGAAGCGAAAGUGACGGUACCUGCAGAAAAAGCACCGGCUAACUACGUGCCAGCAGCCGCCGUAA